rnacentral:lncRNA from 1 species
GUCGUAAGAUGUGUAUCCUAGUGGAUUUCAUUUUACAACCAAGAGAGAACUGUAUAAAAUAAACAUAACGUGAAAAUCAAAUCUCGUUAAAAAAAACACACUCUAAUCUGCUGAUAAAAUCCUUCACAACAAUGCCGGGCCGCAUAAUUUCCUGCAAUUUUCACAAAAUUGUACAGUGUGUUCUUCCAAUUGAGGAAAAAAAAGUAGCCGUAAGGAUGUUCAAUCGGAGAG